rnacentral:rRNA from 1 species
UACGUAGGGGGCAAGCGUUGUCCGGAUUCAUUGGGCGUAAAGCGCGUGUAGGCGGCCAGGUAGGUCCGGUGUGAAAACUCGAGGCUCAACCUCGAGAGGUCAUCGGAAACCAUCUGGCUAGAGUCCGGAAGAGGAGAGUGGAAUUCCCGGUGCAGCGGUGAAAUGCGCAGAUAUCGGGAAGAACACCUAUGGCGAAGGCAGCUCUCUGGGACGGUACUGACGCUGAGACGCGAAAGCGUGGGGAGCGAACAGG